rnacentral:antisense_RNA from 1 species
CUUCAACGACCCCAACCACAACGGCCGCCCCACCGACCGACCCUGACCAUACGUCGCCAGCAACGCCUGCGCCUC